GCUGGGUGCGGUGGUGCACACCUGUAAUCCCAGUGGCUCAGGAGGCUGAGGCAGAAGGGUCGCAAGUUCAAAACCAGGCUCAGCAAAAGCAAGGUGCUAAGCAACUCAGUGAGACCCUGCCUCUA
rnacentral:sRNA from 1 species